GAGAAGAAACACAGACCAAGAUUAGGCAUGAGACAGGAUCAGCAUGAUCAGAAGGAGGGGGAGCAUAACAGUCCUUAAUAUUUAACUACUUCUAGUGAGGGAAGAAAAGGGUUAUCUUAUUUCUAAUAUUUCUGAAGACCUCCUGAAGCCUACUUAUGAUCCUGCUGUCACAUUGAUGCCAACAAAAAUGCAGCAGCAAAGUUGUCUCCACAACAGAUGGCAGGAGGCAGCCGCCGCUUCCUCGAACAGCGAAUAGGCCAGGCCUGCAGCGCUCUGACUCUGGAUUCCUGCUGCUGAGAUGAACUCGCCAUCUUCUCCCAGACUGCUUACGAGCUACAGCGGGAUUAAGAAUAUACAGUAUACUGAUCCAUCAG